UCUCUGGGACUAUUUCUUGGAAGGACUUUCUUCAAGACACCAAUUUGGGCGGUGUUUGCCAAUGUUCACGCGGUGAGUGCUGGAUGCCAAGGUUCACACGGUGACCACCGCGCUGGAACGCCAUGGACGCGAGUUGAGCUUCUUUUGCUCGGGCCCCUCCCCUGUUCGUCGGUUUCGAGCGCUUCACCGUGUCCAGCCGCUUCCCCGUGACCUCCUGCGUCACCCUGCGCUGCUGCCUCGUUCAACCUCGCCCUGGUUGUGUCGCUUUCGAGCUCGCCCGUGCCACUAACUCCCAUGCUCCUCCUUGUCCCGUUGCCGGAGCUCUCCCGAGCUUUCCCGAGCUCGCCCGAGACCUCCCGCGCCCCCGUGAAGCUCCUGGACAAGUCUCCCCUCCCUACCCGUGCCUAUGCUCGCGCCAGCACGAUGGCACACGCGUCACCGUGGCCGUGUCCGAGCACGGCGUCGCCGUGACUAUAUAAGCCAUCCCCGUGCCCGUGCGACCUCACCAGUGGCUUCUCCACCUCCUCUGGUCCUCCCAAGCCUCUUCCCCGAGCUCGAGAGCCCCUCCUCCUCACCAUUGCCGCCACGGCCAUCGCUGGCCAUCGGCUGAAUUCCGGCGAGCCACUCCUCCUCCCUCCGUUCUGCCACCACCAGUAGCUUCCAUCCACCCCGGCGAACCUCCCCGUCCCCUAUUAUUUUCGCCGGAGCCUCUGUUGCCGCCUGCCCGAGCACGGCCGCCGUCGUCUCCUCGGUUACCUCGAGCCGCCAUCGCCUGGACCCUCCUCGGAGUCCGCGUCCAGCCAGGACGGGUGCGGCACCCUUCCCUGAGUCCGCUGGUGGUCCGAGCUCCACCGGGGAGGGCCGGAGCUGCCCGGGAGAGCGUCGGCUCCGCAAGCCCCUCCUCUGUUUCACGGGCGCCAGACGGAGGAAGAAGACGACGACCACCCCCCUGCCCAUGGGCCCCGCUGGCAGUCUCUGGGCGUUAACCCAGCCCGACCCACGCGUUAGGUUAAGUGGAGGCGUAUUCCACCGAAGUACGUUUUCAUUUACUAAAAGCGUAUUUUGGUUAUACCGCGGCUAAGAACACGUUUUCUUCUUCGCGUAUUUCUCCCGAAGACGUUUUCUGUUUUUAGCCGCCAGGGGCCUGUUUGUGGAGGAAUAUUUACAGAUUGGUCCCUGAUCUUCCAACUCUCGUAUCUCCACAACCGUAACUCCGUUUGAGUCCCCUCUGAGAGUGAAGCGUUCCGGCGAAUCGUUCUGCGACUUCACCGCACGUCUUCCCAGAGUAUUCUUCAUACCCAGGCAAGCCACAAUAGCCAAUUGAAGAUGGAUUCGCAGUAGCCAUGGUUUCUACUUAAAUGUUUAAUAAAUGUUUGCUCAUUUCCUUC